rnacentral:rRNA from 1 species
GACGAACGCUGGCGGCGUGCCUAAUACAUGCAAGUAGAACAGUUGCGAACGGGUGAGUAACGCGUAGGUAACUGCCUCAUAGCGGGGGAUAACUAUUGGAAACGAUAGCUAAUACCGCAUACUUUGAGAUGGACCUGCGGUGUAUUAGCUAGGUGGUGAGGUAAAGGCCCACCAAGGCGACGAUACAUAGCCGACCUGAGAGGGGUAUCGGCCACACUGGGACUGAGAAACGGCCCCGACUCCCACGGGAGGCAGCAGGAGGGAAUCUUCGGCCAUGGACGGAAUUCUGACCGAGCAACGCCGCGGGAGUGAAGAAGGUUUUCGGAUCGUAAAGCCCUGUUGUUAGAGAAGCGGUACCUAACCAGAAAGGGACGGCUAACGACGUGCCAGCAGCCGCGGUAAUUC